rnacentral:tRNA from 1 species
AGGACUGUAGCUCAGCGGCAGAGCGUUUCUCUGAUAAAGAAAAGGUCGAAAGUUCAACUCUUUCCAGUCCUA